rnacentral:rRNA from 1 species
CGCCUCUUGAAAAAAUAUAAGAGGUCCAGCCUGCCCAGUGACUUUGUUCAACGGCCGCGGUAUCCUAACCGUGCGAAGGUAGCGUAAUCACUUGUUCUUUAAAUGAGGACUAGUAUGAAUGGCAUCACGAAGGUUAUACUGUCUCCUUUCUCUAAUCAGUGAAACUAAUCUCCCCGUGAAGAAGCGGGGAUAUUAAUAUAAGACGAGAAGACCCUAUGGAGCUUUAAACAAAAUAACAAUUGCUACUAUUCUUAUUUAUUUCAGAAAUUUAAACAUUAUUCUAGCACUAUGAUUAUUAGUUUUAGGUUGGGGUGACCGCGGAGUAAAAAUUAACCUCCGCAUUGAAAGGAUAUUAUCCUAAGCAGAAAGCUACGACUUUAUGCAUCAAUAAAUUGACAUUAAUUGACCCAAUAUUUUGAUCAACGAACCAAGUUACCCUAGGGAUAACAGCGCAAUCCACUUCAAGAGCUCCUAUCGACAAGUGGGUUUACGACCUCGAUGUUGGAUCAGGGUAUCCCGGUGGUGCAGCCGCUACCAAAGGUUCGUUUGUUCAACGAUUAAAACCCU